CAUUCUGGUGUUCUUCUUUCCCUUCUGAUGUUCCCAUCUAUCUUCUGUAAUCAUUUCCUCUCUGUGUAGAGAACUUUCUUUGGUCAUUCUUUCAUGGUUAAUCUGCUGGCCACAAAUUCUCUAAGUUUUUCUUCGUCUGGGAAUGGCCUUUGUCCCCGCGUCACUCCGAGGGCAUCUCACGGGAUGUGGAUUUCCAGGUGGUGGCUCUCCUCAUCCAGUGCCUGGGAAGCGCGUGUCCCUGCCCCCGGCUUCUGUGUUCCAGCUAUGAAACCUGCUGCUGUUUAGACUUGUGCUUCUCUCGAAGGAAUGAGGGGUUUCUCUCUGGCAGCUUUCAAGGUUUUUUUCUCUGUCUUUAGUUUUCAGAAAUUGUAUUACCAUACAUCCUGGAGCAGAUUUCUCUGGGUUUGUUCUAUUUGGAUUCAGUUGGCUUCUCGCAUCUGUGGGUUUAUGUCUCUUGGCUAACAGGAAGUUUUCAGCCAUCAUUUCCUCACAUCCUUUUUCAGUCCACUUGUUCUCUCCUGCGAUUGCGGAAACUUAGAAAUCUGCUCUUUGGUUAGGGUCCUGCGGGUCUCUGAGGCCUUGACCGUCCUCGGUCCGUUUCUGUGUGUUCAGGCAGAUGAAUUCUGUCUGUCCUCGGGGUCACCGGUUCUGCCCUCUCUCGUCUCCACUCUGCCACUUAGCCCAUCCCCAGAGAUUUUUAUUAUGACUGUAUUUUUUUAGUUGUAUAAUUUCCACUUACUUCUUUUAUGUAGCCUUUAUUUCUUGGCUGAGAUUUUCUAUUUUUUAUUUGUUUACAGAGAGUGUUUGUGGCCUUUUGAAGCGUUUUAGUCAUGGCUGCUUUAACACCCUCAUCAGAUAACUCCAGUAUCCGUUCGUCUCGAUGUGAAGUCUGGCGCUUGUCUUUUCUCCUUCAAGUUGUGAUUUUCCCGAUUCUUAAUAUGAUGAGCGACUUUUCGUUGUAUCCUGGGUGGUUCGUGUGUUUAUUAGGAGGCUUUAAACCAGUGACUCCCCUGGGGAGGGUGGUGUGAGGCCUGGCCAGGGGGUUCUGCUUCCUGCCAGGCCUCCAGCCCCACCCCGGCCCAAACAGCUGGCAAGCGCUUCCUCAUGGCAGGCGGUGGGGUGGAAGAAUUUUUUAGUAUUUGCCUUUUGCCAGAUCUUCUGUUACAUCUUCCCUGCUGUCGGUAGCUCAGCCAGGCAGGCAGGAAAGUAGAAGGAAUGAAGGGCUGUUUACCUGGGUUUUCCAGAGGUUCAGCCCAGGCUAGAGCCCCAGCUUGGCCAUGCUCUGGCCGUGCAAGCCCUGGCAGCUUUCUGUGAAUUGGGGAGGACGUGGGAACAGUGCCUACCUGGUGGACCGUGGGAAGACUGAAAGAGAAAACCAGGCAGGGCACUUAGUGCAGCCGCUGGUGGAGGCAGUGGUUAGAGUUCACUCGCUAGAGGGUCCUUGUGAUAAGAGGGUCCUUAUGAUAAGAGGGUCCUUAUGAUAAGAGGGUCCUUAUCAUGGCCAUUUUCCUUUGAUCCAGAUGUCUUUAAAUAUCAGAAAAAUAACGCUUUUAGUCCCAACCGCCACAUCGGAAUCAGUUCUUAUUCCUUCUGGCUACAAUGUCCAACAUAAGUUGAACAACAUAAUUUGGACAACAGAAGGAAGGGUUGUCAUGCUAGCCGGAGAUGACUUCUAGUUAAGAGGUCUGAGCAUUUUCCACGCACAACCAGUUAUUCUCAACGGAGGGCGGACUCUCCAUACGAAACAAGCAGAGCCCUGGCAGAGACUGCAGGGCAUUUGUAAAACUCAAACACCACGUUGAUCUCACUGCCACGUUCUUUCCAGUUACACGCAGGUCUAACAUGCUGGCAUAAGACAUUGUCUUAAUCAGAACACUUUUAAAGCUUUUUUUUCCCUUUUUUCCAAUUCAAAAAAUUAAUGCAGUACAGGUAUUGAUCCCACCGAAAUUGUUCUAAUUCAGUCAUGACACUUCAUGUUUACAAAGAGUUGAUGACUUGGAAAAAUACUCUGUAAUGCUGUUAAACUUAAGAAACAGAAUCGGGCCGGGUGCAGCGGCUCACGCUGUCAUCCCAGCGCUUUGGGAGGCUGAGGCAGGAAGAUGGCUUGAGAGCCGGGCGCAGCGGCUUCCGCCUGUCAUCCUAGCGCUUUGGGAGGCUGAGGGGGGCGGAUCACGAGGUCAGGAGAUCGAGACCAUCCUGGCUAACACGGUGAAACCCCGUCUCUACUAAAAAUACAAAAAAUUAGCCAGGCAUGGUGGCACGUGCCUGUAUUCCCAGCUACUCGGGAGGCUGAGGCAGGAGAAUCACUUGAACCCAGGAGGCAGAGGUUGCAGUGAGCUGAGAUCACGACACUGCACUCCAGCUUGGGCGACAGAGCAAGACUCUAUCUCAAAAAAAAAAAACAAAAGAAACAGAAACAGAGUCAGAAUUGUAGACCACGUUCCUCCUGACGCUAACACAGAGCUCCCAUUUGACCCAGCUGUUCGCUCCUCGGUAUUUACCCGCAAGAAACAAAAACACACAUCCACAUUCAGACUGAUACACGGUGGUGAUGGGGGUACAACAGUGUGAAUCCACCUGAUACCACAGAGUUACACACUCAGAAAUGGUUAACAUGGUACAUUUUAUUGUAUGAGAGUUUCACCACAAUGAAAAACUUGUACCUGAAUGUUCAAGCAGCAUUAUUCGUAUAGUUAAAAAGUAUUAAGAACUCAAAUGUCAAUUAGAUAACAGGUAGAUAUACAAAACAUACUAUAUUCAGCAAAGGAAUAUUAUUCAGCCAUAAUAUAGAAUGAACAUUGAUUCAUCCUAUAGCACAGAUGAAGCACGAUGCUUCUGAAAGAACCGGACAAAAAGUCCACACGCUGUGUGAUUCCAUUCAUACCAACGUCCAGACUAGGCCAGUCCGUACAGACAGGAUGAAUUACUGGUUGCCGGAGGGUGGGGAGGUUGGGGGAGAUGGGGAGGAAGUGCUGAUGGGUACAGGGUUUCUUUUUGGGAUGAUGAAAGUAUUCUAACAUGGAUUGUGGUAAUAGUUGUGUAAUUUUGUGAAUAUGCUGGAAACCAUUGAAUUGUAUACUUUAAAUGGGUAAGUUGUAUGGUAAGUGAAUUAUAUAUCAUAGCUGUUAAAAAUAUAUACGAUAUUUUAAUUAGACAUAGAAGAACAUGAAUAGAGACUAGAAAUAUAUAUAUGUAUAUAUAACAAGGUGUUAAUGAUUUUCUACUAGUAGACUGGUAGAUUUGUACUAAGUUUUUUCUACUAUAUAUACUUUUCUGUAAUUUAGGAAAACCUCCCUUUCAAUUUUAAUAACGAGGGAAAAUUUAUAUUUAAAAUAUCAAAGAAAUAAAAUUAGUUGCAACAU
rnacentral:lncRNA from 10 species